rnacentral:misc_RNA from 1 species
GACAGAGGGGGCAAGCGUUGCUCGGAAUCACUGGGCGUAAAGGGCGCGUAGGCGGGAUGGCAAGUCGGUCGUGAAAUCCCUGGGCUCAACUCAGGGGGGUCGGCCGAUACUGCCGUUCUUGAGGGAUGCAGAGGAGACUGGAAUUCCCGGUGUAGCGGUGAAAUGCGUAGAUCCCGGGAGGAACACCAGCGGCGAAGGCGAGUCUCUGGGCAUCCCCUGACGCUGAGGCGCGAAAGCGUGGGGAGCAAACAGG